GUAGUAGUAGUAGUAGGUCUCAAAAACACUUAUGGAACUAGAGACCAUUAGAUAACCAGAUAGAAAACAGACAAAAAAAUACCUUCUGUUUGAUUUGAAAACUGAAACCAAACCUCUGAGAACACGUAUAUAUAGGGUCUAGAAAACACCUUUGUACCUAGAAAACAUUAGAGAACCAGUAGAAAACAGCCAUAAUACACCUCCUAACUAACCGACAACCUGUUAUUACUAUUAUUACUCCUACUAUUACUACUAUUAUUAUUACUAUUAUUAUUUAAGCUCGUGGAACUCUCCCUCGUCACGAAGGUCCAGAACGUAAACAAAGCAUGUGAGUGACCGGAAACUCUUCAUAUUUUCGUUCUUUUUACCUUCAUCUUACGUUCCUCGCCCCUCCUUUGACCCUGGGAAGAAAGGGGGGACAUGAGGCUUCAAGCUGAGUGAGUGAGUGAGUCGGGGAGUGAGUGAGUGAGCCAGGAGAGGGCGAAGAGUAAGGGAGAGUGAGGGCGUGAGUCACCUGUUGCUUGGUCCUGAGUCAUCACAAAGAACCCACCGACCUGACCUGACCUGACCUGACCUGAUGCCUUCCAAGAGCCUUCAUGAUCUCUGCAGUGCCUUCCUACCGUGACCUGACCUUAAAGAUGGAGACCUUGUCCGAGGGGGGUCAGGGGGAGUCCUACGUCCUGUCCAGGACCGAGGGCUACGACUAUGAGUUUGUCCCCACCUUAGAGCAAAAAUACGAGUGUCCAAUCUGUCUACUUGCUCUGAGGGCGCCGCUGCAGACCUCCUGUGGCCAUCGCUUCUGUAAGGACUGCAUACACAACACCCUAAGCCUGAGUGAGUCCCAUCGUCGGUGCCCCAUUGACAACACGCCGCUGGGUGAGUCCGACCUCUUCCCGGACUGCUGUGCUGAGAGGGAGGUCCUGCAGCUGAAAGUCCGGUGUCCAAACUCUUCCCUCGGCUGUACCCAAAUAGUGGACCUCAUGUACAUUGAACACCACACCCAGGCCUGUAGCUACCAGCCCGUCCUGUGCCCCAAUGAGUGCUCAGCCAUGGUGCUGCAGCGAGAACUUGAGCAGCACCUGUCCUCCCAGUGCCUGCUGCGCCAGAAGCUGUGUGCCCUCUGCAACGAGCCCUACACAUGCAGCCAGGAGCAGCUCCACCUGGCAACAUGUGGACAGGUGCUGGUGGGGUGCGAGCUGUGUGGAAGCGAGGUGGUGCGCGGGGAGCUGCCGGCACAUAUGAGCGACAGCUGUCCCAAGGGUGUGGUGUCCUGCCCUUUCACGGAACACGGCUGCUGCCACAAGAUGGUGCGCGCAGACCUGGAUGACCACCUGGCGCAGUCCACACAGUACCACCUGCAUCUCCUGUCAUCCGCCCAGAAGCGCAUCACCGCCCUGGUCUGGGAGGUCAGCCGGUCAGCUGGUCUGGCGGUCUUGGGCAGCUCACCCGGUAGCCUCUCGUUCAGCCGUCAACCGAGUCUUCGAAGUCAACUGUCAACCUCAUCACCGACACCCGACAGGCAUGAUGGUGGUGGUGGUGGUGGUUUGGUGUUUCCGUCACCUCCAAAAUAUGGUGGUGGUGCAUUUGGUGGUGCGUCUGGUGGUGGUGGUGUGUUACCCUUCCCCUCACCUCCACUCAAGCUCAACACCACCACAGACAACACCACUCCGUCAAAACUCCACAUUCCGUUUUCACACCUAGCAAUGGGGCUUGAGGAGGAGGUGGAGGGAGAAACAGAGGGAAGAAAGGGAGGGAGCGGAGGGAAGGGGGGAGGGGGCACUGGAGGGGGGUCAAUCUCCCUGCCCCCCCAACAGGAAGCCAUUCUCCGCGACCUCUGCGAGAAGCGCCUUGAGGUCAGCCAAGGUCUAUUACAGGUCAAUAUCGCGUUGGCAAAUUUGCAGCGGCAGGUGGAAGGGGUGGAGGGCAGGGUGGAGAGGGCAGGGGGGGAUGCGGAGGGGCGGUUCUGCCAUGGGGUGUACGUGUGGAGGCUGCGUGGAUUUCCCAGUCUGGUGGAGGAGCUGCAGGAACGGCCGACGCGGGUUCUCCACUCACCCGCAUUUUACACAUCGCCAUUUGGGUAUAAGUUCUGUAUGCGGCUGAAUUUGACCCUUAUGGAAGCAGGAAGAGGAGGAGGAGGAGGAGGAGCACCCAGUUUAGGAAGAGGAGGAUCUACGAAUGCUAACCUUAUAGGAGGAAGAGGAGGAGAAGGAGUUGGAGGAGGAGGAGGAGGAGGAAACAGCCUAGCCCGAGGCGGAGGAGGUGGAUGGUGGCUAUCGCUCUUCAUCCACGGCAUGCGUGGCGAAAAUGACACCUUCCUGGACUGGCCAUUCGCAGGAACAAUCACCUUCGCGAUUCUCGACUGCUCGGACGCGAAGACAAAAACACACAUUUCGGAAACGCUGCAAAGUUCGCCAGACCGCCAGGCAUUCAGUAGACCCCAAGCCCAUCGCAACCCCAAGGGCUUCGGAUAUACAGAGUUCGCUUCCCUCGAUACGGUGUUGAACGGAGGUGCCGGUGGUGGUGUGUAUGUGGUAGAUGGGACGCUGUGUAUUAAGGCGUCGGUGAGUACAGGUCAACACCAGUCUCGGCACCAGCAUUCCGAAGGGUCAGGUCGCGCGGCGUGUAUCUGUCAACACCAGCAGAAGAGUGGGAGUAAGGUGUGAGUGUGUUCGUGUGUGUGUGUGUGUGUGUGUGAGUGUGAGGAUUUGUCUUAUUCUCAUAUCAGUCGAAAAGUCUUUUUAUGGAUGUUUGCUACCUGUUUUGUAUGUUUUUUUAUUGUUUUCCACUUUUCAUCUUGUUUUCUAGUGUUUUCAAGGACAAGAAGUGUUUUCAGAAGGUCGUUAGGGUUUCAAAUCAAUCAAUAGGCAUUUUAUGGGUGUUUUCUACCUGGUUUUCUAGUGUUUUUUUAUUGUUUUCUACUUUCAUAUGUUGUUUUCUAGUGUUUUGGGGACCAAGAGGUAUUGUCAAGGGUUUGUUAGGAUUUCAAAUCAGUCAAAAGGUCUUCUUAUGGCUGUUUUCUACCUGUUUUUUAUGUUAUUUUAUUGUUUUCUACUUUUUCACCUGGUUUUCUAUUGUUUUCCAGUGCUUUUGAGGCCAAGAGGUGUUUUCAGAAGGUCGUUAGGGUUUCAAAUCAAUCAAAAGGCAUUUUAUGGGUGUUUUCUACCUGGUUUUCUAGUGGUUUUUAUUUAAUGUUAUUUAUUUAUUUACUUAUUUUUGAGAUCAACAGGUAUUCUCAUAGGCUCUUAAAGUUCAUAUUAAGUGUUCUUGAAACCCCAAACGUUCUCUACAUCGAGUGUUUUUUACUCCCACAAGUUGAUCUUCAAGGUUCUCAAUCAGUUCUCAAUUAGUGUUCGACUGUUUUCUAUCUGUUAUGUUAUGUUCUUGACCCUAACUUGUUCUCAGAUUCUUCAUUAUUAGUGUUGUCCUUCCUCCAAUGAAACCAAAAUGCUCAAAGGUCUGUCCAUAUAUUAGCUAUAGUGGUGCUGGGCCAGGGAACAACUACUACAUAUACUACUACUGGGCUAUGGGUGACAGGUUAUAGGUGUAAGGAGGCUGUGGUUGUAGGGGACGUGGUUAAUGUGAAGUCUAACCCUCAGUGUCUUUGUGUAUCAGAAUCUCACAUGUUAUUUUAUUUGUUAACUGUUUUAUUUGCUAACUUUUACAGGUAUCGACACACACACACAGUUUCACCCUACCAGAGUCUCACAGGCAGUUAGUUCAUUCAUGGUUUUAUUGGUGGGGUUAAUGUGAAGUCUAACCCUCAGUGUCUUUGUGUAUCAGAAUCUCACAUGUUAUUUUAUUUGUUAACUGUUUUAUUUGCUAACUCUUACAGGUAUCGACACACACACACACACAUAGUUUCACCCUGGCAAAGUCUCACAGGCAGUUAGUUCAUUCAUGGUUUUAUUUCUUUUGUUGCAUCAUUUCUGGCUUUUUUUUUGUCUGUUCUGCAAGUUUCCCAGCCAUCUUUGUGCAAUUUCAACUCUUAAUAGAUUUGAUAUUGUACUGAAUAAUUGGAUUUCUUUACUAACAGUCUUCUUAUUUUUAUAUUCAUAUCAUAUUCUUACAGUUUCCGGUCCAUUGUACCUUGAGGUCGCCCUGGAGUGAGACAGGAAGCUUUUGGCCUUAAAUCAAACGUAGGGAGUGUUCGCAGACGUGCCUUUAUUGACGAGCUUACAGAGGGGGACUUAGUACACAGAACAGCUUACAGAGGGGGACUUAGUACACAGAACAGCUUACAGAAAAUGACUUUGCAUUGUAUUAUACUAACAUGACAGACAAUGAGACAAACUUGAUCAAUAGACAGACUUAGAUUGCAUUAGUACUGAUACUUAGAGAAGAGAGAGACAGUCUGUAUUAGUAUUGGAGAGACAGUAGAGCGAGACAGUCUGUAUUAGUAUUGGAGAGACAGUAGAGCGAGACAGUCUGUAUUAUUAUUAGAGAGACAGUAGAGCGAGACAGUCUGUAUAAGCGAGACAGCAAAGAGAGACAGCAGAGAGAGAGAGAGAGAGAGAGAGAGAGAGAGACUUCUUCUUUCUCUUCUUAUUCUUCUUUAUUCAUAGUUAAUCUUCUCUCCUCCUUCUUCUCAUGUUAAUUUUCCCUCUUCUUCUUCUUUGUCUAUAGCCUAUCUUCUUCCCUCCUCCUCCUCCUCCUCCUCUUCUAUAGUCGUCGUUCCUCUCCUUGAUCUUCCAGGUGGUCACAUCCCUGUCACCUCCACUGUCCUCGGCACUCCACCUUCUCUCUCUCUCUCUUUCUGGCACCUCCAUUUCCUCCACUCCUCAGCUCUCCACCUUCUCUCUCUCUCUCUUUCUGGCACCUUCAUUC